GCCCCUGUAGCUCAACGGAUCGAGCGGCGGUUUCCUAAACCGUAGAUGAAGGUUCAAUUCCUUUCAGGGGCU
rnacentral:tRNA from 1 species